CGAGAAGACACAAACUCCGUAAAAAAAUUUUGGAGGAAAAGGCCAAAUUUAGUGCAGCUGUAGAUGAGUACAACAGGGAAGCACCUGAAAAGCUGCAGUCAGCUGACACAGUUCUGGCAUCUGAGAGCUACGCAUGGCCAUGGGUACUGGAUGAGCAUGAUAAUCUUGUCACCAAAAAAAGGGCCUUUGACCAACUGAUGCUGCUGAAGCGCCUUAACGAAGAGGAGUGCAUUGUCCUGAAUGAAAUCAGGAAUCACUGGAAAAGCCUCAAAAGGGAUCUAUCUCUUCUAAAUGACCUUUCAUGUCAUGUUGCUGUUGAUAUAAAAAAGAACAAACAUGACUCUGGACUUUCCAAAAGUGGAAUUCUGGGACUUCACGCUCUACUACUACCUAAAAAGUCACAUAUCCUCGGUUCAGCAGCUGUAUGGUAGUGUCCUAGACAAUUGUGAGGUGUGUAAGAAACUGCAAGAUGAUGAUUACCUUGACAUGGAUGAGGAUUAUAUCCAGUAUGGUUCAGAGGAUGAGGAGGAGGAUGAAGAUGAAGUUUCAUUUGAAAUUUAAAAACUUUGUAAAUCAUUACUGUGGAAAAACUGAGCAACAUACACUAAAUACUCAUUUAAUUUCCAUUAAAUCUUAACUGUCUAUAUUACUUGAUAAAACACUGACAAGGUGUUGUGUAAAUGUGUAAUCCUACUGUUAAAUUCUUGUUUUUAUAUUAAAUUUCAUAAUUUACAUGGUAAAAAUUACACUGUAAAACAUUACUUGCACUCACUAUUAUUUAUUGUAAAAUAGCUUCUUGAUGUAACAAACCUGUAAUAUUCAUGACUAUCUGUACAUUGUUUUACCAAAAUGUACCAAAAUCAUGACAAAUUCAGACAGAGAACCUGCCAACCAAUUUUUAUUGUUUUCAGUAUGAGUGUGCUGCAGAUUUUAUGUAAUGGGGUAGAUGUUUGCAGUGACCUGUCCAAUAAAUGUGCUAAACUGCUUUGCUCUAGAGCUGAUAUGUAACUAAAAUGCCUACCUAGGUCCUUUUUCAUCCUUGCCCUAAUAGACUGAUUGACAACUGGUUAAUCUGAUUUAUAGCCCAUUUCAGCUGAGUACUAUUGGAUUUGUGUGUAAUGAUUCAAACUCAGGAUCUUAUUUCAGGCUUAAGACUGUUUUAAGAAGCUUACAUGUGCCACAUCUUUUUAAAAGCCUAAAAACAGCUCAAACAUGCAUUUUAGUCCAGGACUAUCUUAAGCCUUGUCUGUGAAACCGGGGGUAAAUGUUUAUGUAUUUAAUAUGUGUAAUUAAUUAAUAUAUUUAAAAAAUAUUACUUAACCCCAUGGUGUAUGCAAUGGAUGGAAACCAUUUGGCCCUUGCUUGGAAGAGCCUAACUUAAAGCCUAUUUCUACAUCAGGUUAACCACACAAAGGAAUCUAUCGUUUAAAAAUGCUAGUUUACGUUUAAUGGGAAAUUAUAAAUGUAUAAAACAUAACCAAAUAUUUGUUUAUAGGAGUCUUAUGCAUUCAUCUCAUUAAUAAAUUCGCCAUAUAAAACCGGAAGAUUCU